UGUUGGGGUAACGGCCCAACAAGCCAUUGAUCGGUACGGGUUGUGGGAGCAAGAGCCCGGAGAUGGAUUCUGAGACAUGAAUCCAGGCCCUACGGGGCGCAGCAGGCGCGAAAACUUUACAAUGCGAGCAAUCGUGAUAAGGAAACCCUGAGUGCCUGUCAAUGCAGGCUGUUCUGGUGUCUAACACACACCAGGAGAAAGGGCGGGGCAAGACCGGUGCCAGCCGCCGCGGUAAUACCGGCUGCUCGAGUGAUAGCCGCUUUUACUGGGCUUAAAGCGUUCGUAGCUUGGUCGUUAAGUCUCUGGGGAAAUCUUUUGGCUUAACCAAAAGGCGUCUCAGGGAAACUGGCGAUCUUGGAACCGGGAGAGGUAAGACGUACUUCGGGGGUAGGAGUGAAAUCUUGUAAUCCCCGAGGGACGACCGAUGGCGAAGGCAUCUUACCAGAACGGCUUCGACAGUGAGGGACGAAAGCUGGGGGAGCAAACCGGAUUAGAU
rnacentral:rRNA from 1 species